GGCUGUAGCGCGGUGGUCCCACCUGACCCCAUGCCGAACUCAGAAGUGAAACGCCGUAGCGCCGAUGGUAGUGUGGGGUCUCCCCAUGCGAGAGUAGGGAACUGCCAGGC
rnacentral:rRNA from 1 species